CUUCUUUUUUGUAUUUAUUUAAUGCAUUUUCAUAACUUGAAUCUGCCUUUCUUUAUCCUGUCAUCGCAGCUUUUUUUUUUUAGUAGAAAGUUAAAUUUUCUUAUUUGUUGAAUCCUGGUGAAUAAUGUUGUCUUUGUGUGUUCUGGGGUUUAAACCUGACAGUAAUAUCAAAUUAACCAUCUUUAUAGCUGUGUCAAUCCACCAAGAGGAACAGAGAAAGGACAUUGCUGUGAAGCUCUCCUGGAUGAUGGGUGUAGUUAGUUGGUUUGAGAGAUAUUGUCUCCUCUGGAUGUAGUGAGUUCCCUGGCUU